UUCUUUAGCGAUGUUGUUACG
rnacentral:misc_RNA from 1 species